GAAAUGGGUCUAAUAUCCAGUUUAUUUUCAAAAUCAAAAUAUCGGCUUAUAAAUCGGCUCUUUUCGAGUUAAUAUCGGCAUCGGCAUCGGCCCCCAAAAAACCAUAUCGGUCGGGCUCUAAUGAAUACCCCUUGGCUGACUAUUUGAUUGGACAUGUGCAGAUGGUUACGUUAAAGAGAUUUGUCUGCUGCAAAGAAUGACAUUGAUGCAGCUUGUGAACUUGCCAUCAGAGGACUGUCUAUCUAUCUUAAUGAGGACUCUAAAGAUCUCAUUCAGGAGUAUGCGGACAUGGAAGAAGAUCUUUUACAGUGUGCGAUUGAGAAGACUACCAUGGGCAUCUUCCUGAUAAAGCACACUGCAGACAAUGAAGCCCAUGAUGUAGGCAUUGUGCUAGAGGGUGUAGCAGUGUUUCAGGACCUUGACAGUGUGGAUUUUGGCAACUUCAAUGUUUUUGGUCUAAUUUAUGCUCUUAACCUGCAGU